GAUGAACGCUGGCGGCGUGCCUAACACAUGCAAGUCGAGCGAUUCUCUUCGGAGAAGAGCGGCGGACGGGUGAGUAACGCGUGGGUAACCUGCCCUGUACACACGGAUAACAUACCGAAAGGUAUGCUAAUACGAGAUAAUAUGCUUUUAUCGCAUGGUAGAAGUAUCAAAGCUCCGGCGGUACAGGAUGGACCCGCGUCUGAUUAGCUAGUUGGUAAGGUAACGGCUUACCAAGGCGACGAUCAGUAGCCGACCUGAGAGGGUGAUCGGCCACAUUGGAACUGAGACACGGUCCAAACUCCUACGGGAGGCAGCAGUGGGGAAUAUUGCACAAUGGGCGAAAGCCUGAUGCAGCAACGCCGCGUGAGCGAUGAAGGCCUUCGGGUCGUAAAGCUCUGUCCUCAAGGAAGAUAAUGACGGUACUUGAGGAGGAAGCCCCGGCUAACUACGUGCCAGCCGCCGCAGUAACAC
rnacentral:rRNA from 1 species